UAGCUUAUUGCUUUUCCGUAUAUUCACUUAAAUUUUGUCUGUCACAUUUCUCCUAUUAUGAAAUCUUAAUUCAAAAUUUUAAUAAAGUGAUAGGAAAACAAAGCUUUUGAGCAGUUUAAAUUAUUGUUGGUUUUUUUUUUUUCUGCCGAUAUUACGACUUGUACUCAUGGCCUUGAGGCCUUGGGCUAUUGCUUAGCUUUUUUUUUUUUAAUCUUCUGUAGGCUGGUGCUAUACCACUUGAACCAUACUUCUACUUCCUUUUCUUUUUUUUUUUGUUUUGUUUGCUUCUUAAUAGGAAAUAAGAUACCCAUAGACUUUUCUAUUCUGGCUGGACCUCAAACUGCUCUCCUUAUAUCUCAGCCUCCAGAGUAGCUAGGAUUCCAGGUGUAACCUUGCAGCACUCAGCCACUAGUUCUCACAUUCUUAGAUUACACUUCAAUAUGUUUAGGAUUUCGCUCCUUGCUGCAUAUUCCCUGCCAUUCUACUUAGAGUGUUUAAGAUGCACUCUGUAAAAAUUCACUUUGUUGAAUCAAUAACAAAAAUAAGCCCAAGACCUAGAAUGUAUGCUCUCCUUUUCUCAUUUUGUUGAAACAAAUUGCUCUCUUUCUGAGCCCAGUCAAGGAACAGAGGCUUCACUGUUCUUUGGUUAACUCCUGUCUGGCAGGUGGCAAACAAGGUGUUAUUUUUGUCUCAGACUCGGACUAUUCACGGGCCAGUUUCUGCUGUUCAGGUUUCAGUGAUUGUUGCUAAUCAGGCACAUCUCAGCCACAAAGAGACAUGAAUGGAAAGAUUCAGAGGCCUGAAAUAAUAUGGGCUUAUGGGUAAAUAUGCUUAUGUUGAUAAGAGAUUCUUUUAAAAGGAUGUCUCUUUCUAGUGAACAGUAUGGGAACAUAAGGCACAUUCCAAUUUCAGGGAUGUGGUCAAGGGAUGGAGAUCAGUAAGUCAAAGGAGGUAGAAAUUAGAUUGGAAGUGACAAUAAACAAUCUAUACCGAAAUGGAGAAUAGAGUAAGCAAUGGGAAAUGAAACCAAACUGCUUUUCUGAGAACCCACAGGUCCCACUUUUCCCUGUAAUUUCAAAAACAUUAAGCUAUUUAUAUUGGUGAUGAGUGACAUACACUGCAAUAAUUGUCCAUGAGCCUCAGACUAGCUGUUUUGUAAUCUAAAGAGGCAGUUAAUAUUCUCUGGGAAAUGUGGUUAGUAUUUUGAGACAUUUCUAUAUAGCUGCCUUCUAGUGUGAUCUCAGUGACAUAACUCAAGUAUUAUUUAAGAUGC